GCCUGGAUAGCUCAGUUGAUUAGAGCAUGGUACUGAUAAUGUCAAAGUUGCAGGUUUGAUCCCCACAUUCCUGCGUUGCAGAGAGCU